GGCUCUCUGGUUGGAGAUGUCUUCUCUGUGGAGUUAUUUCUGCAAGCCUUGACUCUCAGAGACUGGCACAAAGUAAGCCAUCUAUUGCAAAACCGGAGUGCUUGUCAGAAGAAAUGUCAAAACCAGUCAGCACUCAGGACACAGCUAUGAGUAGGUUUUUUUUUUUUUUUGCUGCAUGAAGGGGUUUUCAUUGUCUGGCAUUCAGAGGUUCUUUGGCUGUGUCACCAGUGGUUUAUACAUAAGGAAUGAAUGAUGAAAAUCAUCUGAAUCGUGCAUGAAUUCCUCCAAUCAGGCUAAUUAACACAGUGGUUAAGCUUUGGAGAAUUUAAAAUGUGGCAUGAAGUGUUCAACUUGGAGAGGACAAGAACAAGCAGAAUGAAAGGAAAAAACACCCACAAAUCCAAUCAUGUUGAUACUCUAACCUUCUUUCUGUUUCAGCCCACCUAAAAUCUCCAAGUGAAACUCAAAGUUGCGUGGUUCUUUUAGUUGCACUAAGAAAUGCUAGAGACCCUGUGAGGUUCACAGGUCAUAUGACUGGGUUUUCUCCAGUGCUUUGUUACCCUCAGGAAGCCACUCAGAUUGUUUGAGAAUGUGAGAAUGUAGUGCUUACUGCCUAUAUAUUGUGCAGAUCAGCUUCUUCCAGAUAGCAGACAGGGGCUUGGGAUUCAGGCAAUGUAACUCAUAUCCAUGGGGUGCCAUUAAAGUGCUAUCUCGAGUCACUUUAGUUCUCUGAAUCUCAAUUUCUUUUUCCAAAGCCACUUUAGAUACGUGCUGUGUGACA